rnacentral:rRNA from 1 species
AUUGAACGCUGGCGGCAGGCCUAACACAUGCAAGUCGAACGAGUGGCGGACGGGUGAGUAAUGUCUGGGAAACUGCCUGAUGGAGGGGGAUAACUACUGGAAACGGUAGCUAAUACCGCAUACCAUCAGAUGUGCCCAGCUGGGAUUAGCUAGUUGGUAGGGUAACGGCGGACCAAGGCGACGAGCCCUAGCUGGUCUGAGAGGAUGACAAGCCACACUGGAACGUGGACACGGUCCAGACUCCUACGGGAGGCAGCAGUGGGUAAGAUUGCACAAUGGGCGCAAGCCAGAUAGAGCCAUGCCGCGUGUAUGAAGAAGGCCUUCGGGUUGUAAAGUACUUUCAGCGGGGAGGCGUUACCCGAAGAAUAAGCACCGGCUAACGCAGUGCCAGCAGCCGCGGUAAUAC